UGAAAUGUCACUCUCAAUAUUGUCAUUGUCACUGC
rnacentral:sRNA from 1 species